ensembl:lncRNA ATP1A1-AS1 ATP1A1 antisense RNA 1
AGAGACGAAUCCGCGCUCCCCCAGGCUGUCGCGCGAGCUCCCCGGAAGCUCCCACCUGAGCGGCGCAUCCUCAGGGCCUGGGCCUGGCCUCCUUGCCUGUGAGAUGGCACUGUGACGGUGCCCACCUCGUGGGGUGUGUGAGGGCCGAGUGAAAUCGUGCAUUUGCGGAAAUGCCCAUGACCUUCAUCGCAGCAGCGUAUGUGCGUUGGUCUUCUCCAGGGAUGCCGAAAGUAGACAUACAGGGAGUCGCAGUACGGAUACCACCAGUGCCAGCCUGACCUCACAAGAGACGUCUUGUGUGACUGGCCCUGCCGUCACAGCUGGGCCAGUAAAGUACCUUCCAGGAGGCUCCAGUUGCUACCUGACUCACAACCUUCUAAUCCCAUGAUCUUUUAGUUCUAGUUUCCUUAUCUUGGUCUGAGCAAAUGGCUCAUUUUAAAGAUGACUUGCAGACAAAUGUAGAGAUCAUCCCAGGGGAAAGUGCCCCAAGAAAGGAGAGUCCAAGACCACCUGCCCCUCCCAGUUCUGCGGCUGGAGUGGGUGGGUGCAGCAACCACAGCCCCAGUGUACAGGAGUCACCACUGUCUCCUCCCGCAUUGGCCCAGCUUGGAAGUGCACAGCAACCAAGCAUGAGGACUGAGUUAAGCUUUUCGGAGAAAAAAGACACUAUGAUCAUCUGGCAGAUCACGAUCACUGUUUGGUGCCAGAGGUAAGGAGUUUGCUUGUUGUGUUUGCUUGGAGGCGACAGUUGGCAAUGACAGCCUGGGAGAAGCACCGGCAGUUAACAGCACUCUGCACCACUCAUGGCUGAGACUGAGGGGAGCCUUUUACAGCAGCUCUGAAAGCAGGAGGUGUUCUCAGACUUGACCCUGAAGUAAACACAUCUCUUUCACCUUUUUCUUAAGUGCUUGCUGGCACAUAACCACUUGCUGAAAUUGUGUCAUUGAUGCUAAAUUAGGAACACAUUAUAUGGAAGGAAGGGAACCACUUCUCAGCACACAUGCCCAGGCAGACUGUGUGGGAUAGAUUUCUGCUUCUCAGAUAAGCCCUGGGCUAGAGACACUUGAGAUGUGGUGGUGAUCUCUGGAGGGAAAGCAGGAAGGCUUCAGGUCUCUUUUAGACUGAAAGAGAAGGGCCUCAUCUGCAGUUUAGUAUACUCUGAGGGUCUGGAAAUCCUUUAGGCGAGGUGCUCUUCCAUCAAAAAGCCAGAUGCUAAGGCAGCAGGUGGAGUUACAGCCCUAUCACCCCAGGCAGCAGCCAGAAAAAAUGGGUCAGGUAAACUCACCUACUCCAACUAAAAGAGCACGGGCAGAAUGCUUCCUCUUAGCCAGUGGUUUCCAAACUUGAAUGUAAAUCAAAAUCACCUGAGGGCUUAUUAAGCCACAUUGCUGAUGCAUUUCUGACUCAGUGGGUCUGGGCCCGCCUUCCUAGCAAGCAACCAGGUGAUGCUGAUAAACUGCUGGUCAGGGACUCAUGUUGAAAACCACAGCUCCAGAUCACAUAGACAUCUGUACCAAAGAAGCGACGAGGGCACAGACAAAUUCCAUUAUAAUAGCCAUCUUUAUUUGUAAAAAUCCAGAUAUAAAAUGUAUUCUUUCAGUCUUUCCGGGUGUUCCUUUUUUACAAAAACAAAAAGGCACAUAAAAACCUUCCCCGCUGUCAUUUCCACAGAUGGAUGGUUUUCAGGCAGCCCUCCCCCCUCCCCCCAUAGAGCUACAUGCUUCAUUCCAGGACGUCUUGCUUCCCCACAUGCUGCGGUGCUUUCCUACCAGGGUAGAGUUCCAAACUCCAAGACUGAAGUACACAAAGAGGGGGUGGGUGUCGGAUGCAGAGUGUGUGGCCUGAUGCUCCACGGCGUGCAGGACGGGGGGCUAAUAGUAGGUUUCCUUCUCCACCCAGCCUGUGGGUGGCAAAGAGACAGACAAGACACACUACAGUGAGUCUUCCUCGCUCCAGCAUUACAGAGGGAAACAGGGAUGAAAACCAACCGGAGGAUGAUGGGGGUCGGGUGUGUUAAAAUCCAAACAUGGGACCUCAACUGUACUUAUUUACAUGUUUUUAGGAAUACCAAGUUACCUGGAAAGAUGGUUUAGAUUCUGACAAGUUUUCACUAAAUCAUACUUGGUUUGUAUUUUAAAGUCUAAAACAUGACCAGUCCUCAAACUGUAACUGAGAUCUACAUUCUGAAGAUGUGACUAUGGUCAGUUUGCUGGUCCAGUCACCUUAGCUAAUCAGACUGACCACUGAGGGAGCCUAGACACCUUGAGGGAAACAAAAAACCAAUAGAACUAUAGCCCCUCCCACUCCUCCUCCAACCAAAGUCAGAAUGCCCAUAAUUACCGCCAGGGCGUCGCCUGAUGAUGAGUUUUCUGACUUCGUCAUAUACGAAGAUGAGAAGAGAGUAGGGGAAGGCACAGAACCACCAGGUAGGUCUGGAAAUAGAGUAAGGUACCAAUUUAUAUGCACACGAACACAGUUCAAAUAAAGAAAGAGAAAUUGCACAUCACCAGUGACAAUGAAAUAAUCAGCCUGAAAGGAGAAGCCAAGUACAGUCACAGUUAACUACUGAGUCAUUAACAGAACAAAUAAAAAUGUCUUAAAACAGAUUGCUACUCCAUGUGCCCAGGGCCUAGAGACGCAGAGGAAAUCAGUCUGCAGACUUUGUAAUGGAAUCCCUACUCAUCUUCAGUUUGGAUUUCAUAAGACUUGGUUUAUAGGAUGAGCAGAGUACUUUUCUGUUAACCAUCCCAGAGCAACUGAACAUUUUCUUUCUUUCAUUUCUAAAGUGUUUAAGAAGCUUUUUAAGACCAUCUGCCUAAUAUCCCAGCAUUUUGAAGAUAAAGACCUGCCAGUGUGGGUCAAAACCAGUUUAUGCAUUCCCCAAAUUUGAUCUCUGACAACAGCAUUUGGGAUAUCAGCUCUGUGUUCUGAGGCCUGGUCCUGGGGACUGAAAAAAGCUGAGCCCGAAGGCUUCCAAGGGGCCUGGAGGCUGAGCCACACAGUCUCUAGCCUGCUGACAGGCUCCAGGCAGCCUCCGUGAUCACCAGCUCCCUGCUAUGGUGUGAGAAAGGCUGUCCCUGGGCAGGACUCCGGUGGUCUCCUCUUCUUCCUGUGUGUCUGACAAGGCAGCUAAGAGAGAUGAUCUCAUUUGACUCAGUCACCGAAUAACUGAACCACCUUCCAAAAUUGGGCAGAACCUGUCAGAACAAUCUCUUUGGUGGUGGCAAAAAAACCAGGGAAGGACCCAGAAGAUGGAAAUGCCCCCUUUUCAGUGUAAUUUUCCACCAGCCUUUUUGGAAAGCUCUGUGACCUCUCCAAGCCCCAUCUUGAUACAUAAUGGCCCAAGCUGACAGAAUUCAAUUUGGAGAUGGCUGGCCCCUGCUGUACACCAGCUUUGUGUAGGGAGCUGGGGAUGCACAGAGAAGAAAGACACUGUGGCCCAUGCCUUCUAGAUUAAAACCUAGCAGGGAGGUGAAAUGACAAGCAACAAGUAAUGCCAGAGAAGAGGUGCAAGUGCACAGGCCCUGGAGGGACAAGCUCCAAGGAAACCGGCCCUGAAGGGACUAUCAGGAUUGGCAGGGUAAGAGGGAACAGAAGGAGGGAUGUGGGGAGGAAGGAUCUUACCAAACACAAAGGCAGAGGAAGAAAGCCGAAUUCACCUAACAUGAGCUUGGAUGGGUAAGGGGUACAAGAGAAAGCUAUAAAGACAGGUUGGGACAAUGAGACUGACUCUGGAUGCCAGUCUCAUCUUGCACCACAGACGAUGUCUGCACAUAACCCACAGGAAGUGAAUGAGGCUGAUGGGUUUUGGUUACUUUAGGGAUAAGAUGAGCUGAAGGAAGUGCUGGCAACAGGGGAUUGAGAGAUGGUCCAGACGGGUCUGAGCAAGGAUGAGGACAGCAGGAAUUCAAAGGAGACUAAUGCUUUAAAUCAAAAGCUUCAAAGGAACUUGUAAAUGGGUCCCACAAUCUGUGGCUUUGCACGUUUUAAUCAAGUUGCAGUUGCUUAACCUCAACCAGGUAUCACCAAACAUACUCAAUGUUGCAAAAAACUAACGGAGUUUGUGAUAAACCCUCUUUGAAAAUUCAAGUUUAUCUGAAAUGCAGAGUCAUUCACUGUGUUUAAGGCCAAAGACUAGCAGUAUGCUUCCUUUGAUCAACUCUACCCAUGACUGAUUAUAAAGUAAAAGGGACCUCAGAUCUGUUUCUCCAACCUUCUUUCUUUGAGAGCAGAGUAUUCAGAGUCUCAGAAAGGUGGAUGACUUGUAAUGGGACAGUGACUAAGCAAGCAAAUCAAGAUUUGAGCCUGGGCGCCUACGCUCCAGCAUACCCCCAGUUGGCCUCUAAAGACAACUGGACUACAGCUGUGGCAGACCUGAGUGCUCAAUGCAGUUCGCUGUUGAGCAGUUCCAUGGAGCUAGAGCCUGUGUGGCUUUAUCUUAUCUUGGGCCAAAUCCUAAACACUAGCUGCUAUCAUGGAAGCCUCAGGAUUUGUUAGUCUGAUUUACUGACAUGUCAAGCUUUCACAGUUUUCCAACCCAUAGGAAUUUUUGUACAUACCACUCAAAAUUCUGAAAAUAACAACUAUUACCACAAGUAAUGGGGGGAAAAGCCACACAUACUAUUUCAUACUUUUUGGAGCUACCAGAGGAUCAACUUACUUGAGGGGAUACAUCCUAAGAGCAACACCCAUUCCAGGGCAGUAGGAAAGGAAAGCAGCCAGGGCUGUCUCUUCAAAGAGGCCAAA